GAUGAAGAACGUAGCGAAAUGCGAUAAGUAAUGUGAAUUGCAGAAUUCAGUGAAUCAUCGAAUCUUUGAACGCACAUUGCGCCCGCCAGUAUUCUGGCGGGCAUGCCUGUUCGAGCGUCAUUUCAACCAUCAAGCCCCAGGCUUGUGUUGGGGACCUGCGGCUGCCGCAGGCCCUGAAAACCAGUGGCGGGCUCGCUGUCACACCGGGCGUAGUAGAUUUUAUCUCGCUCAGGGCGUGCUGCGGGUUCCGGCCGUUAAAAAGCCCUUUUUACCCAAGGUUGACCUCGGAUCAGGUAGGAAGACCCGCUGAACUUAAGCAUAUCAAUAAGCGGAGGA
rnacentral:misc_RNA from 1 species